CUGGAACUUAUGGAAUUAUGCCAUACCGCUUGCCCCCUUUGCAGAAUCAACCUGCUUUUCAUAGUAUGAUUUCUCCUGUAAAUCAAGGAAAUGCAUUGCGUGGUGGAAUCAGACCUGAUCUUGGCCCCGGUAUGACCCCUAGAAAUUAUGCAAUGCCUCCUGCAAGCUAUGUUGGCUCUGCUUAUCCUGCGGUGCCAGGUAUUCAGUAUCCCAUGGCAUAUCCUGGAGGAAUGAUGAGUCACCAGCCUUUGAGUGGGUCGCCUAGUACGGUACCUGCUGCAAUUGCAAGCAGUAAUUCUGCAACAUUUUCAGGUGUCAGUUCAAAUUCUGGCAGUCAAUUAGAAGGUCCACCUGGUGCUAAUCUGUUUAUAUAUCACAUACCUCAAGAAUUUGGUGACCAAGAG
rnacentral:misc_RNA from 1 species